rnacentral:rRNA from 1 species
GAUGAACGCUGGCGGCGUGCCUAAUACAUGCAAGUCGAGCGAAGCGGGGACGGGUGAGUAACACGUGGAGAACCUGCUAUAAGACUGGGGUAACUUCGGGAAACCGGAGGUAAACCGGAUACUGAUAGAUGGAUCCGCGGUGCAUUAGCUCGUUGGUAAGGGAAAGGCUUACCAAGGCAACGAUGCAUAGCCGACCUGAGAGGGUGAUCGGCCACACUGGAACUGAGACACGGUCGAGACUCCUACGGGAGGCAGCAGUAGGAAAUCUUCCGCAAGGGGCGAAAGCCUGACGGAGCAACGCCGCGUGUGUGAUGAGGUCUUCGGAUCGUAAAACUCUGUUAUUAGGGAAGCGGUACCUAAUCAGAAAGCCACGGUUAACUACGUGCCAGCAGCCGCGGUAAUU